rnacentral:rRNA from 1 species
UUGAACGCUGGCGGCAGGCCUAACACAUGCAAGUCGAGCGGUAACAUUGAUAGCUUGCUAUCAGAUGACGAGCGGCGGACGGGUGAGUAAUGCUUGGAAAUCUGCCUGAUAGAGGGGGACAACCACGGGAAACUGUGGCUAAUACCGCAUAAUCUAUUCGUAGCAAAGUGGGGGACCUUCGGGCCUCACGCUAUCAGAUGAGUCCAAGUGGGAUUAGCUAGUUGGUGAGGUAAGAGCUCACCAAGGCGACGAUCUCUAGCUGGUUUGAGAGGAUGAUCAGCCACACUGGAACUGAGACACGGUCCAGACUCCUACGGGAGGCAGCAGUGGGGAAUAAUUGCACAAUGGGCGCAAGCCUGAUGCAGCCAUGCCGCGU